rnacentral:rRNA from 1 species
GAUGAACGCUAGCUACAGGCUUAACACAUGCAAGUCGAGGGGAAACGACAUCGAAAGCUUGCUUUUGAUGGGCGUCGACCGGCGCACGGGUGAGUAACGCGUAUCCAACCUGCCCAUCACUUGGGAAUAACCUUGCGAAAGUAAGACUAAUACCGAAUGAUAUCCCACGAAGACAUCUGAAUGGGAUUAAAGAUUUAUCGGUGAUGGAUGGGGAUGCGUCUGAUUAGCUUGUUGGCGGGGUAACGGCCCACCAAGGCAACGAUCAGUAGGGGUUCUGAGAGGAAGGUCCCCCACAUUGGAACUGAGACACGGUCCAAACUCCUACGGGAGGCAGCAGUGAGGAAUAUUGGUCAAUGGGCGAGAGCCUGAACCAGCCAAGUAGCGUGCAGGAUGACGGCCCUAUGGGUUGUAAACUGCUUUUAUAAGGGAAUAAAGUGGGUCUCGUGAGACUUUUUGCAUGUACCUUAUGAAUAAGGACCGGCUAAUUCCGUG